GGAAGGCGAUGGGUUAUAACCUUAUAAGGAGGAUAAUGAAACUUAGUGUCAUCCGGGAAGGUUGUAACCCCAUAGUACUCAACCAAUGAGGAACUAGGGGAGGGACUUGCGUACCGGAGAUAAAUUACCUGUUGUGACUGACCCAGGUGCGUCGUCCCAGACACCCGAUGUUACAAGACCGUUAUAAAAAGUCUCAUUUUCACUGUUCUUCGUGCCUCUAAGUCCAUUCUUUGGGUUUGAACGGGUGAGUGUGUUUCUCACAACCUGAGGGCCCGUUCGGGAUCUCUGUGCCUACGUGGAGUGGGACUCCGGCUGAGAGAAGAGACAUGUCCCACCCGAUUUUUGUGCCCCACUCUGUCUGGGUGUCCUGGCUCCCCACAGAAGCCAUAGAUAAACCCGAGACUGUUAUUCAGGAGACGGUGGAGGUGACGCAGGGAGAAAAGCAGGCACUGCGGCAAACAGGCAACCUCGUGCACCAGCCAAGGUUGGGUAUUUCCUUCAGCCUAUUAAAGGAAUUGGGAACCUGUGGUACCGGAGAAAUAGCCUGCAGACCAGAGAAUAAGGAAAAGUUGUUUCCUGCCAAAGAACAAGCAGUAUUGUGAAAUAUAAAAUUUUAUUGUUGCGGUGAAAGAAAAUUUCAGUAUCAAAUUUUUGAAAACACCAUGUAAGAGAUGCCUGCUUUCCCUUCACCUUCCGGCAUGAUUGUAAGUUUCCUGAGGCCUCUCCAGACAUGCUUCCUGUACAGCCUGUAGAACUAUUCUGACACCUCCACUUCACACAAAACACUCCACUUUAGAGUUCCUUGGCCCCUUAAAGCAUUGCAUGCUACUCCCUCAAACCUUUUUCUGGUAUCAACAACACAUCUUGGCUGGUGGAAACUGCUUAAUAACAUUUGCAUGAAAAUGUGUUUAGUCAAGGUACCCUUUUCUCCUCUGGCCAAAUAUCAGCAUUCAAUCUAAUACAAAACACUUGAAUUCUCUCUGGCAGAAAAUGCAAUCCUGAGGGAUACGACAAAAAAAAAUAAAAGCUAUUUUCUGCCUGAUUAAUCUGUUCAUUAGCUUCUAAUUUCUAGAUCCCUGUAGCUACAAAAUGCCUGUCCUUCAGAGACUUAGGCCAAUUUUGCCUAUAAGCCUAUGAGUUAGCAUAUGUCUUCACAGUAUCUUGGAGUGGCUGGAGGUAGAGUGAUAUAUUAGCCAGAACUGGAGUCUGUUAUUUGCAACCAAGAUACCUAAAUAAUAUUAUUAAAAAGUAUAAUAUUGACCAAAAUAUAGAUUUCUAGGACAAAUUUGUACAUUCAGUGAAAGGAAAAGCACAGUUAAAAUCUGUAUAGUUUCAAUGAAAGACUCAUCCUCUUCGGUUUGGUUUGGGGUGCCUUUAUACUUAGGAUUUCUCUGCUCAAUCUUUCAUUUCUACUACCAAGUGCAAUAAUAUAGGUUAAGAAUCUUUAUUGGACUGGGAAGGAAGUACCCACUCCUUGAUUAUCCCUUUAUCCAGGCUUGUAAACUAAGGCAAAACCGGGCCUUGACACAAAGAAAAGAAGGAAUGAAGAAAGCUGUUUUAUAUUUUUUCUUAGUUAAAUCAUGAAACUCAAAACUAAAAAAAAAAAAAAAGUCUCCUGGGCCCACACUUGCUUAAUGCAAAAUCAGAAAAUGUACGGAACUCCAAACAAAUGCUAGCAAUCCACUGAAAUCAUCAUUUGAAUUAAAACUAUAUUUAGUCUUCAUAAGCCUAACACAGUUCACAUUAAAUUUCAAAGGUGACUCCUAAUUACACAUAUGCAAUCUUACAAAUCAAUAGAGAAAUUCAGGCAAUCCCAUAGAUGUAUGAGAAAAUGAAUUGGAUAGGCCUUUUAUAAAAUGUAAUAUCCAAAUGGCCAAUGAACACAGAAAAUGUGAUUAUUUUAUUGGUCAUAAAAAUACAAAUUAAAACUAUAAUAUCCUACAAAUCUAAUGUAAAGCAAGGUGACUAUUGUGAAUAAUACUGUAAUGUAUACUUGAAAUUUGCAAGAGUAGGUAUUAAAUGUUUUCAUCUUUCCCCCAAAAUUGAUACCAAUGUAAGAUGGUGGAUAUUUUAAUUAGCCUGAUUGUGGUAAUCAUUUAGCAAUGCAUACAUAUACAAAAACAUCGUGUUGUACACCUUAAAUAGGUAUAAUUUUUUUUUUUUUUUUUUUGAGACGGAGUCUUGCUUUGUUGCCAGGCUGGAGUGCAGUGGUGCGAUCUCCGCUCACUGCAACCUCCGCCUCCUGGGUUCAAGCGAUUCUCCUGCCUCAGCCUCCUGAGUAGCUGGGACUACAGGCGUGCACUACCACGCCCAGUUAAUUUUUUGUAUUUUUAGUAGAGGCGGUGUUUUACCAUGUUGGCCAGUAUGAGAUACAGUUUUUAUUUGGAAUUAUUAUACCUCAAUAAAGCUGAGAGAGAGAAACCUAUAAUAUUCUACUAUUACACAGCUGUUAGGAUUGCUAAAAUGAAAAUGAGGAAAAUAAGAAGUAUUGGCAAGGAUAUGGAGCAACUUAAAUUCUCAUAUGUAGCUGAUAGAAAUGUAAAACUGAUAGGCAGAAUAUGUUAAAAGGAGUGUAUAAAUAUACUGUAACUCAAUAAUUUUACUACCAGUUAUGUUCUCAUGUAAAUAUGUAAUAUGUUCUCAAAAUGUUAUAUACAGGGAUUUUAAAAGUGACACUACUUAUACUUGCCCAAAAGGAAACCAAUACAAAUGUUAUCAAAAACACAUUGAUACAUAAAUUGUAUUACAUUUAUACAACAAAAUAAUACUUUACCGCAAUGAAAAUGGAUAAACUACAAUUACAUACAACCAUAUGGAUGACUCUCAACUGCAUAGUGUUAAAUGAGACAAGUCAAUUCAAAAAGUACAUGUAUAUUGGAUGAUAUCAUUUGCAUAAUAUUCAAAAACUAAUUAUGAGGCUACAAAUCAGAAUACUGGUAAGGCUUGGGGAGAGCAGUAUUGAGAAGAGGGAAGGAGAGAGUGUGCAGUUUCUGGAGAAGUUCUGUUUCUUGUUCCUCUUGCCAGUUACACCAUUGAAUUCAUUUAGUGAAAAACUUAUCAAACAACCUACUUUUUAUUGGUGUACUUUUCUAGGCACAUGAUGUACUUGGAUAAAAUAUUUACUGUAAAAAUAAGUGGCUGAAAUAAAAAUCAGUGUUACAGAUCUUGAAUAUUUCCUGUGAAGAGACAAAGCUUACAUGACAUUAGUGAGCAAAAAUUUGUUUACUUGUAAUAUUGUACCAAUUAUUAAAAACACUUCCCAUAUCUCAUCUACUGUCUAUCUUUCCUUGAUAACCCUUAGUGCAGUGAAAUAAAAUCUUAGUAAUCAAUUAUUGUUGGCUGAUGCAAAAAGGACAGAAUUAGUUCUAAG
rnacentral:lncRNA from 1 species